UGCAAGUCGAACGAUGACUCUCUAGCUUGCUAGAGAAGAUUAGUGGCGGACGGGUGAGUAACAUUUAGGAAUCUGCCUAGUAGUGGGGGAUAGCUCGGGGAAACUCGAAUUAAUACCGCAUACGACCUACGGGUGAAAGGGGGCGCAAGCUCUUGCUAUUAGAUGAGCCUAAAUCAGAUUAGCUAGUUGGUGGGGUAAAGGCCCACCAAGGCGACGAUCUGUAACUGGUCUGAGAGGAUGAUCAGUCACACCGGAACUGAGACACGGUCCGGACUCCUACGGGAGGCAGCAGUGGGGAAUAUUGGACAAUGGGGGCAACCCUGAUCCAGCCAUGCCGCGUGUGUGAAGAAGGCCUUUUGGUUGUAAAGCACUUUAAGCAGGGAGGAGAGGCUAAUGGUUAAUACCCAUUAGAUUAGACGUUACCUGCAGAAUAAGCACCGGCUAACUCUGUGCCAGCAGCCGCGGUAAUACAGAGGGUGCGAGCGUUAAUCGGAAUUACUGGGCGUAAAGCGAGUGUAGGUGGCUCAUUAAGUCACAUGUGAAAUCCCCGGGCUUAACCUGGGAACUGCAUGUGAUACUGGUGGUGCUAGAAUAUGUGAGAGGGAAGUAGAAUUCCAGGUGUAGCGGUGAAAUGCGUAGAGAUCUGGAGGAAUACCGAUGGCGAAGGCAGCUUCCUGGCAUAAUAUUGACACUGAGAUUCGAAAGCGUGGGUAGCAAACAGGAUUAGAUACCCUGGUAGUCCACGCCGUAAACGAUGUCUACUAGCCGUUGGGGUCCUUGAGACUUUAGUGGCGCAGUUAACGCGAUAAGUAGACCGCCUGGGGAGUACGGCCGCAAGGUUAAAACUCAAAUGAAUUGACGGGGGCCCGCACAAGCGGUGGAGCAUGUGGUUUAAUUCGAUGCAACGCGAAGAACCUUACCUGGUCUUGACAUAGUGAGAAUCCUGCAGAGAUGCGGGAGUGCCUUCGGGAAUUCACAUACAGGUGCUGCAUGGCUGUCGUCAGCUCGUGUCGUGAGAUGUUGGGUUAAGUCCCGCAACGAGCGCAACCCUUUUCCUUAUUUGCCAGCGGGUUAAGCCGGGAACUUUAAGGAUACUGCCAGUGACAAACUGGAGGAAGGCGGGGACGACGUCAAGUCAUCAUGGCCCUUACGACCAGGGCUACACACGUGCUACAAUGGUAGGUACAGAGGGUUGCUACACAGCGAUGUGAUGCUAAUCUCAAAAAGCCUAUCGUAGUCCGGAUUGGAGUCUGCAACUCGACUCCAUGAAGUCGGAAUCGCUAGUAAUCGCAGAUCAGAAUGCUGCGGUGAAUACGUUCCCGGGCCUUGUACACACCGCCCGUCACACCAUGGGAGUCUAUUGCACCAGAAGUAGGUAGCCUAACGCAAGAGGG
rnacentral:rRNA from 1 species